rnacentral:rRNA from 1 species
GACGAACGCUGGCGGCGUGCUUAACACAUGCAAGUCGAACGGAAAGGCCCUGCUUUUGUGGGGUGCUCGAGUGGCGAACGGGUGAGUAACACGUGAGUAACCUGCCCUUGACUUGGGGAUAACUUCAGGAAACUGGGGCUAAUACCGGAUAGGAGCUCCUGCUGCAUGGUGGGGGUUGGAAAGUUUCGGCGGUUGGGGAUGGACUCGCGGCUUAUCAGCUUGUUGGUGGGGUAGUGGCUUACCAAGGCUUUGACGGGUAGCCGGCCUGAGAGGGUGACCGGCCACAUUGGGACUGAGAUACGGCCCAGACUCCUACGGGCGGCAGCAGUGGGGAAUAUUGCACAAUGGGCGGAAGCCUGAUGCAGCAACGCCGCGUGCGGGAUGACGGCCUUCGGGUUGUAAACCGCUUUCGCCUGUGACGAAGCGUGAGUGACGGUAAUGGGUAAAGAAGCACCGGCUAACUACGUG